UUUGAAACAACAUUGAAUUUAAAGUAACGGAAAAAAAUCACAGCAAAACAUGUUUUUUUUUUUUUAUUCGACAAAUUGGAGCUACCAAAUAACAUUUUACUAAGUCAUAAUCAUAUUAACAAUCGGCGACCGGUUAAGUUCUAUUCUCAAUUAAUCUGAUUUCUAGAAAAUUUGACCUCGAAUUGGAGAAAAAAGGGCGAUGCACGAAAAACAUAAACAACAACGAACGAGACGUCAUAAGGCUUAGGCGUCUGUGCGUCAGACGAGCAAAUGAGAGGUCGCCGGUUCGAAGAUAGUAUAGAGUGUACGAAAAACAUAAACAACAACGAACGAGACGUUGUAAAGCUUACAUAGCUCCGGUGUCUGUGCGUCGGAUCAGCAAGCGAGAGGUCGCUGGUUCGAAGUUAGAAUAACGUAAGCUGAAGCGUUUUUUUUCAUGGCAGCAGAAGUAAUUUCGUUGCAAUUGAGCCGGAUGACGCCGUGUAAUUUAGACUCGCAAAUGUGCAACUGAAUCAUUUUAUUUAAUGUGCAACUUUCUGAAAAUGGGCAACAAAAGUGACAGGAAAAGGGAAAGAGCUGUGAACCAGGUUCACAAGCUGAACCAUAAGACGCGGCACUUGUGCGAACCAUGAGCCGAACCAGAACAUGAAAAAGUGGUUCGUGAACUUGUGACAAUAUGAGAAGCCACAUUUAAACUAAGUGUUUCUUAAAAUAUGUCCAAAAAUAUAUGCGAAGCAUUUAAAAUA